rnacentral:rRNA from 1 species
UACGAAGGGGGCGAGCGUUGUUCGGAAUUACUGGGCGUAAAGCGUGCGUAGACGGUUAUGUAAGUCAGAUGUGAAAGCCCCGGGCUCAACCUGGGAAUUGCAUUUGAGACUGUGUAGCUAGGGUGCGGAAGAGGGAAGCGGAAUUUCCGGUGUAGCGGUGAAAUGCGUAGAUAUCGGAAGGAACACCAGUGGCGAAAGCGGCUUCCUGGUCCAGCACCGACGUUCAGGCACGAAAGCGUGGGGAGCAAACAGG